rnacentral:misc_RNA from 1 species
GAUGAAGAACGUAGCGAAAUGCGAUAAGUAAUGUGAAUUGCAGAAUUCAGUGAAUCAUCGAAUCUUUGAACGCACAUUGCGCCCAUUAGCAUUCUAGUGGGCAUGUCUGUUCGAGCGUCAUUUCAACCCUUAAGCCCUGUUGCUUAGCGUUGGGAGCCUACAGUACUGUAGCUCCCCAAAGUUAGUGGCGGAGUCGGUUUCACACUCUAGACGUAGUAAUUUUUUCUCGUCUGUAGUUGAGCCGGUCCCCUGCCGUAAAACACCCAAUUUAUCAAGGUUGACCUCGGAUCAGGUAGGAAUACCCGCUGAACUUAAGCAUAUCAAUAAGCGGAGGA